rnacentral:rRNA from 1 species
GCGGCAGGCUUACACAUGCAAGUCGAGGGGUAUAGUUCUUCGGAGCUAGAGACCGGCGCACGGGUGCGUAACGCGUAUGCAAUCUACCUUUUACAGAGGGAUAGCCCAGAGAAAUUUGGAUUAAUACCUCAUAGUAUGUGAGAAUCGCAUGGUUUUCACAUUAAAGUCACAACGGUAAAAGAUGAGCAUGCGUCCCAUUAGCUUGUUGGUAAGGUAACGGCUUACCAAGGCAACGAUGGGUAGGGGUCCUGAGAGGGAGAUCCCCCACACUGGUACUGAGACACGGACCAAACUCMUACGGGAGGCAGCAGUGAGGAAUAUUGGACAAUGGGCGCAAGCCUGAUCCAGCCAUGCCGCGUGCAGGAUGACGGUCCUAUGGAUUGUAAACUGCUUUUGUACAGGAAGAAACACUCCCUCGUGAGGGAGCUUGACGGUACUGUAAGAAUAAGGAUCGGCUAACUCCGUGCCAGCAGCCGCGGUAAUACGGAGGAUCCAAGCGUUAUCCGGAAUCAUUGGGUUUAAAGGGUCCGUAGGCGGUUUAAUAAGUCAGUGGUGAAAGCCCAUCGCUCAACGGUGGAACGGCCAUUGAUACUGUUAAACUUGAAUUAUUAGGAAGUAACUAGAAUAUGUAGUGUAGCGGUGAAAUGCUUAGAGAUUACAUGGAAUACCAAUUGCGAAGGCAGGUUACUACUAAUGGAUUGACGCUGAUGGACGAAAGCGUGGGUAGCGAACAGGAUUAGAUACCCUGGUAGUCCACGCCGUAAACGAUGGAUACUAGCUG